rnacentral:lncRNA from 1 species
GUGGGGGCGCGCCGCGGGGGCCGCCCCGGGGAACCAGCGGCCCACGUGGGGGAAAGAAGUUUCUCCUUCCCUCCCCUUGCCGUCGAUACCGACAGGGGUGAAAGAAAAGCACCAGCACGGUUCUGAAAGGCGGCCGAGGCUGGGUGAAACCGGCCCCGUUCCGCGGAGGGCAUCAUCCACCGCGGCUCUGGUGGCUCCGGUGGGGGCCGCGGCCAACCAGAGCAAGCUGCAACACAUCGUGGGUGAGAGCGAUACAUCGCUCCGGGCUCGGGACGGCGACGUGCCACAUCCCCACGCCACAAACCUGUCCCUGUGUCGAGUCCGCAGCGCGGGACCGAAAGCCACCCCUGAAAGGUGAAAGCUAAAAGGUGGUAAAGUAUUGACAAAAUAAGUAACUGCGAGACAGACAUAGCUUUUUCCCAUCAUGCACUUGGAAGAAAGUAACCCAACUAGCCAAACUUGAAAGCAACAAGUUUGUACAAGCUGCGAGAUAAGCGAAAAAUUAAACUUCUUUAUUGAUAAAAUGCAUGGUGUUUGAAUAGACUGUGUCUGAAGGGAAAGUUGCAUCAUCGACCAAAGAAAACGUGAAUUACUGCAUGGACAAGUAUAUAACCAAAAUGUUUAGGGCAGUAACUUUAAAACAACCGACAGCGAAACAACAACAAAAGCAAUACAAACAUGAGGCAGCAGCAAAAGUAGGUAUACAGAUGGAAAACCUCUCCGUACCACAUCUGCAAAUGUGCCACUUCCAAACCUGGGGGAGAGCAGGUGAAGAAAUGCUCCAAAUUAUUGCAGCCAUAGAAAAAUAAUGUUCAAAUCAACUUACCCCUAUAUUUUUCAAACACGGGACACCUUCAAAUCCAAGAAUCGCCCAAUACGCUGCCAUGAAUGAACUACACAGAAACACAUCUCACACCUAAGCCCGUGCUUAGAACUCUUUUAGAUACUUUUGUAUAAAAAGAAAAAGAAAACAUGUUCAAUCUUCAUUUACUUAAUACCAAGUGGUCAUUGCUGUGGGUGUAUCACAAAGAGUUAUUGUCUUUUUCACUUGAUUUAGUUCUGUAAAAAUCUUUCCAUGACCAAAAGAAGUAUUGCACUCAGUCCACACUGAACUUUUUAAUAAAAAGCAAUAAAGCAAUCUACUCCA